rnacentral:rRNA from 1 species
UACAGAGGUCCCAAGCGUUGUUCGGAUUCACUGGGCGUAAAGGGUGCGUAGGUGGUCGGGUAAGUCUGAUGUGAAAUCUCCGAGCUUAACUCGGAAAUGGCAUUGGAUACUAUUCGGCUAGAGGGUUUGAGGGGGGACUGGAAUACUUGGUGUAGCAGUGAAAUGCGUAGAUAUCAAGUGGAACACCAGUGGCGAAGGCGAGUCCCUGGAAAACUCCUGACACUGAGGCACGAAGGCCAGGGGAGCAAACGGG